UAUUUUUUUACACAUAUAUACAAAUAAAAUUUUCAUUUGAUAGACAUUGAAAAUAAGAGAACAAAAAUCAAAAAAAGAGGAAUUCUAUGGAUUCAGAGGAAUACGAUCUUGAAGAAAAUGUAUAUUCUUAAACAAGAAAGAGAAGCUAACAUAAUAUAAUUAAAAAUUCACAACAUUCUAAUGGGAUUCAAAUGAUUCAAGACCUAUGUCCGAAUGUAAGCUAUCAGAAGAAAUAAAGAAACAAGACCCUCAAUAUUCCCGAUGCAAUAUAUCUUCGUAUGAUGUUCACCGCUUCAUCCUUUGAAAUUAAGACUACAACUAAUUCUAACAUAUUUUCGGAAAUCGCAAUGCUCAUAUGAGUCGAUUUUAUACCUCAAAUAGAAUAGUGGCUUCAAAUUCCCCUCGUCAACCGGCCUUGGAAUAUUUUGGGGUCUCUGAGCACUCGUAAAAAAAUAAACGUCCUACAUUUCCCCACGGUUCAAUUCAAAACGGAAACGGAAAAAAAAAACUUAAUUUCACUGUUACGAUUUUCAUCAACACAACAAAGAGACGUGAAAUAAACAAGAAUCCCCCAUUCGUAUAUCACGGCCGCAGCAUUACACCAAUAACAACACCAGCAGCAACAACACUAACUGCGUUGCGAACAACAAUUCGUUUGGAUUUAAUAGAAAUGGAAAAUCCUGCAAACAGCAGCGGCAGCAGCAGAAGUGGCGGCUUUAUGUGUAAACCACAACUACCAGCAGCUAAUGGUGAUUAUGUUGUUGCUCCUCUGUCUUGAUUAUGGUAGGACUGGUGAUGGUGGUGUUGGAGUCGGGGUAUUAACAACAUUUGCCUAUUAAAUGCAAAAACGGUAUAUAUAAUUUGUAGGAGCAACAAUAGCAAACAUAAAACACA